AAAAAAAUGAAAAAAUUUACCGGUGGAGACCGGAGGGUGGACCGGAACGCCGGAGGCGGAGGCUGUAGGGGGAGUGUCGAAAAACAAAAAAAAUGAAGAAACUUACCGGUGGAGGCUGGGGGUGGACCGGGACGCCGGAGGCGGAGGCUGGACGCCUGGACCGGGACGCCGGAGGCGGGAGACGGAGGCUGGACCGCGAUGCCGGAUGCGCGCGAGCGGGGGGCCUCCUGGGAGUGGGGGCCUAAGGCAAAGGCUUCGGUGGCCUUACCCUUCAGCCGCCCCU
rnacentral:lncRNA from 1 species